rnacentral:rRNA from 1 species
UCAAUAAGCGGAGGAAAAGAAACUAACAAGGAUUCCCCUAGUAACGGCGAGUGAAGAGGGAUGAGCUCAAAUUUGUAAUCUGGCGUGUCGCAAGGCCGUCCGAGUUGUAGUCUAGAGAAGCGUCUUCCGUGCCGGACCGCGUACAAGUCCCCUGGAACGGGACAUCGUAGAGGGUGAGAAUCCCGUGUCGCGACGCGGACCGCCGGUGCCCUGUGAUGCGCUCUCGAAGAGUCGAGUUGUUUGGGAAUGCAGCUCAAAGUGGGUGGUAAACUCCAUCUAAAGCUAAAUACGGGCGAAAGACCGAUAGCGAACAAGUACCGUGAGGGAAAGAUGAAAAGCACUUUGGAAAGAGAGUUAAAUCAGUACGUGAAAUCGUUGAAAGGGAAACGCUUGGACUCAUGUCACGUCCACCGCGAAUUCAACUUCCGUCUCGCGACGGUGGUGCACUUUCCGGUGGACGGGUCAGCAUCGAUUUCGAAAGUCAGACGGAGUCCCAUGGGAACGUGGCACUCCCUCACGGGAGGUGUGUUAAUCAGCCCGGGGACUCGGUGACGGUUGGGAUCGAGGAACGCAGCGCGCCUUCAUUGGCCGGGGGUAAUAACCUACGUAACGCGCUUAGGAUGCUGGCGCAACGGCUUCAA